AAGCAUGAGAGGCUAAGAUGCAAUUUAGAGAAAAUUGCAACUUUUGGCCCAAAGGUUUGAAUAAUUAAAUUCAAACCUAUAGUUUUUUUUUAAUAUAAUUUUGGGACUCACAAUCCCAUUUUUAUAUUAUUUUUCUCUCUUCCUCUCACGUUGCUCGGCGUUUUCUCACAAGGGAGGAUUAUUUUCUUUUUCUUCAGAUUAUAUUGACAAAGAUAGUGGUGAAAAAGGAGUUGUGAAGGGGAACUUGUUAUUCAAGACACAAGGAGCGAAUUCGGCCGAGAAAGCACCAGAGGUGUAAUUAUGGUGUAUGAGACACCAUCUUUUACGUUGCCUCUUAUUUUGGAUUAUACAAUGUAUCUUGUGCCAACUUAGGACAUAUCUUGUCUAUGGAGCAUGUAAACUCUAAUCCUUUUUAUUA